rnacentral:rRNA from 1 species
GAUGAACGCUGGCGGCGUGCCUAAUACAUGCAAGUCGAGCGAACAGAUGAGGAGCUUGCUCCUCUGACGUUAGCGGCGGACGGGUGAGUAACACGUGGAUAACCUACCUAUAAGACUGGGAUAACUACGGGAAACCGGAGCUAAUACCGGAUAAUAUAUUGAACCGCAUGGUUCAAUAGUGAAAGACGGUUUUGCUGUCACUUAUAGAUGGAUCCGCGCCGCAUUAGCUAGUUGGUAAGGUAACGGCUUACCAAGGCAACGAUGCGUAGCCGACCUGAGAGGGUGAUCGGCCACAGUGGACAGGAGACACGGACAAGACUCCAACGGGAGGAACCAGAAGGGAAUCUUCCGAAAGGGGCGAAACCCUGAGGGAGCAACGCCGCGUGAGGAAUAAGGGUCUAGGGAUCGAAAAACUGUGUUUUGGGGAAAAAAAAAAUGUGAAAGUAACUAUGCACGUCUGGAGGGUACCUAAUAAGAAAGCCCGGACAAACUACGUC